AACGAACGCUGGCGGCAUGCCUACACAAGCAAGUUGAACGAGACCUUCGGGUCUAGUGGCGCACGGGUGCGUACCGCGUGGGAAUCUGCCACUGGGUUCGGAAUAACCGUUGGAAACGAUUGCUAAUAGCGGAUGAUGACCUAAGACCAAAGGUUUAUCGGCCAAGGAUGAGUCAGCGUAGGAUUAGGUAGUUGGUGUGGUAAAGGGACACCAAGGCGCCGAUUCUUAGCUGGUAUGAGAGGACGGUCAGCCACACUGAGACUGAGACACGGCCCGGACUCCUACGGGAGGCAGGAGUGGGGAAUAUUGGACAGUGGGCUGAGUCCUGAUCCAGCAAUGCCGCGUGAGUGAUGAAAGCCUGGGGGUAGAUAUGCUCUUUUACCCGGGAUGAUAAUGACGGUACCGGGAGAAAAAGCUCCGGCUAACUCCGUG
rnacentral:rRNA from 1 species